GUUGUAUAGUUAAGUGACUAAGCGUACAAGGUGGAUGCCUUGGCAAUCAGAGGCGAAGAAGGACGUGCUAAUCUGCGAAAAGCUUGGAUGAGUCGAUAAGAGGCGUUUAAUCCAAGAUAUCCGAAUGGGGAAACCCAGUAGAUGAAGAAUCUACUAUCAACAAGUGAAUUCAUAGCUUGUUGAGGCAAACCGGGAGAACUGAAACAUCUAAGUACCCCGAGGAAAAGAAAUCAACCGAGAUUUCGUCAGUAGCGGCGAGCGAAAGCGAAAGAGCCAGUAAGUGAUAGCAGUAUAGUGA
rnacentral:rRNA from 1 species